UAGUUAAUAUGUAGACACUGGUACAGUGAUGGAGGUAGUUAAUAUGUAGACACUGGUACAGUGAUGGAGGUAGUUAAUAUGUAGACACUGGUACAGUGAUGGAGGUAGUUAAUAUGUAGACACUGGUACAGUGAUGGAGGUAGUUAAUAUGUAGACACUGGUACAGUGAUGGAGGUAGUUAAUAUGUAGACACUGGUACAGUGAUGGAGAUAGUUAAUAUGUAGACACUGGUACAGUGAUGGAGAUAGUUAAUAUGUAGACACUGGUACAGUGAUGGAGGUAGUUAAUAUGUAGACACUGGUACAGUGAUGGAGGUAGUUAAUAUGUAGACACUGGUACAGUGAUGGAGAUAGUUAAUAUGUAGACACUGGUACAGUGAUGGAGGUAGUUAAUAUGUAGACACUGGUACAGUGAUGGAGGUAGUUAAUAUGUAGACACUGGUACAGUGAUGGAGGUAGUUAAUAUGUAGACACUGGUACAGUGAUGGAGGUAGUUAAUAUGUAGACACUGGUAGGGUGAUGGAGGUGGUUAAUAUGUAGACACUGGUACAGUGAUGGAGGUAGUUAAUAUGUAGACACUGGUACAGUGAUGGAGGUGGUUAAUAUGUAGACACUGGUACAGUGAUGGAGGUAGUUAAUAUGUAGACACUGGUACAGUGAUGGAGGUAGUUAAUAUGUAGACACUGGUACAGUGAUGGAGGUAGUUAAUAUGUAGACACUGGUACAGUGAUGGAGGUAGUUAAUAUGUAGACACUGGUACAGUGAUGGAGGUAGUUAAUAUGUAGACACUGGUACAGUGAUGGAGUAGUUAAUAUGUAGACACUGGUACAGUGAUGGAGGUAGUUAAUAUGUAGACACUGGUACAGUGAUGGAGGUAGUUAAUAUGUAGACACUGGUACAGUGAUGGAGGUAGUUAAUAUGUAGACACUGGUACAGUGAUGGAGAUAGUUAAUAUGUAGACACUGGUACAGUGAUGGAGGUAGUUAAUAUGUAGACACUGGUACAGUGAUGGAGGUGGUUAAUAUGUAGACACUGGUACAGUGAUGGAGGUAGUUAAUAUGUAGACACUGGUACAGUGAUGGAGGUAGUUAAUAUGUAGACACUGGUAGGGUGAUGGAGGUGGUUAAUAUGUAGACACUGGUACUGCUGACCUCAUUACCAUAUUUAUCAGGGGAAGGGAGGGCAGAGGGAGGGGCAGAGGCUGCUGGCAGCAUUACCAUAUUUAUCCAGGGAGGGCAGAGGGAGAGACAGGUGAUGACAGGUGAUAAACAGGUAUUAUUGACCCUGGUUCGAUUCCAAGCUGUAAAUAAAAUAAAAUCAAAUCAAAUUUUAUUUGUCACAUACACAUGGUUAGCAGAUGUUAAUGCGAGUGUAGCGAAAUGCUUGUGCUUCUAGUUCCGACAAUGCAGUGAUAACCAACAAGUAAUCUAACUAACAAUUCCAAAACUACUGUCUUAUACACAGUG